rnacentral:rRNA from 1 species
UGGGGAAUUUUGUACAAUGGGGGAAACCCUGAUCCAGCCAUCCCGCGUGUGCGAUGAAGGCCUUCGGGUUGUAAAGCACUUUUGGCAGGAAAGAAACGUCAUGGGUUAAUACCCCGUGAAACUGACGGUACCUGCAGAAUAAGCACCGGCUAACUACGUGACAGCAGCCGCGGUAAUACGUAGGGUGCAAGCGUUAAUCGGAAUUACUGGGCGUAAAGCGUGCGCAGGCGGUUCGGAAAGAAAGAUGUGAAAUCCCAGAGCUCAACUUUGGAACUGCAUUUUUAACUACCGGGCUAGAGUGUGUCAGAGGGAGGUGGAAUUCCGCGUGUAGCAGUGAAAUGCGUAGAUAUGCGGAGGAACACCGAUGGCGAAGGCAGCCUCCUGGGAUAACACUGACGCUCAUGCACGAAAGCGUGGGGAGUAAACAGG